rnacentral:rRNA from 1 species
GGUGGGAGCUACCUGCAGUCGAGCGGCAGCGACACAUUGAACCUUCGGGGGAUUUGUUGGGCGGCGAGCGGCGGACGGGUGAGUAAUGCCUAGGAAAUUGCCCUGAUGUGGGGGAUAACCAUUGGAAACGAUGGCUAAUACCGCAUGAUGCCUACGGGCCAAAGAGGGGGACCUUCGGGCCUCUCGCGUCAGGAUAUGCCUAGGUGGGAUUAGCUAGUUGGUGAGGUAAGGGCUCACCAAGGCGACGAUCCCUAGCUGGUCUGAGAGGAUGAUCAGCCACACUGGAACUGAGACACGGUCCAGACUCCUACGGGAGGCAGCAGUGGGGAAUAUUGCACAAUGGGCGCAAGCCUGAUGCAGCCAUGCCGCGUGUAUGAAGAAGGCCUUCGGGUUGUAAAGUACUUUCAGUAGGGAGGAAGGUUCAUGCGUUAAUAGCGUAUGGAUUUGACGUUACCUACAGAAGAAGCACCGGCUAACUCCGUGCCAGCAGCCGCGGUAAUACGGAGGGUGCGAGCGUUAAUCGGAAUUACUGGGCGUAAAGCGCAUGCAGGUGGUUAGUUAAGUCAGAUGUGAAAGCCCGGGGCUCAACCUCGGAAUUGCAUUUGAAACUGGCUGACUAGAGUACUGUAGAGGGGGGUAGAAUUUCAGGUGUAGCGGUGAAAUGCGUAGAGAUCUGAAGGAAUACCGGUGGCGAAGGCGGCCCCCUGGACAGAUACUGACACUCAGAUGCGAAAGCGUGGGGAGCAAACAGGAUUAGAUACCCUGGUAGUCCACGCCGUAAACGAUGUCUACUUGGAGGUUGUGGCCUUGAGCCGUGGCUUUCGGAGCUAACGCGUUAAGUAGACCGCCUGGGGAGUACGGUCGCAAGAUUAAAACUCAAAUGAAUUGACGGGGGCCCGCACAAGCGGUGGAGCAUGUGGUUUAAUUGAGGCAACACGAAGAGCACUACACAUUCUUGACAUCCACAGAAAAUAGCACAGAUGCUUUGGGGCGCUCUGGAAAUAUGAGACACAUGUGGCACAGGGGUGUUCACAUCUUGUGGUGAAAAAUUGGGGGAAGUCUCGCAAAGAGAGCAACCCCUAUCUCUGUUUGCCACAGAGUAAAAUCUGGAAAUCCACAGAGAGAGCCCCUGAUAAACCCGAGGAAAAUGGGGAGGAGAUCAAGUGUUCUCGGCCCCUAUGAGUAUGGGUACACACAUGUUACACAGGGGUAUACAGAGGGGUGCCACCCCCAGAUGGUGAGAGAAUCUCAAAAAAUAUGUGUUAGUCUGGAUAUGAGUGUGCAAAUCUAGUCCACGAGGUGUGAAUAUCUAGUGAUAUUGGAUCUCAAAACCACAGGGAAUAUAUUCUCGGGCGCUGUACACACCCCCCGUCACACCACGUGAGAGUGGUGCACAAGAAAAGUGUAAGUAACCUUCGGGAGGACGUCACCCUUGUAUGG